rnacentral:misc_RNA from 1 species
GGAUGAAGAACGUAGCGAAAUGCGAUAACUAAUGUGAAUUGCAGAAUUCCGUGAAUCAUCGAAUCUUUGAACGCACAUUGCGCCCUCUGGUAUUCCGGGGGGCAUGCCUGUUCGAGCGUCAUUGCAACCCCUCAAGCACAGCUUGUGUGUUGGGCUCUCGUUCCCCGUGGACGGGCCUGAAAUGCAGUGGCAGCACCGAGAUACCGGUGUCUGAGUGUAUGGGCAUUGAUCAUCACUCGAUAGACCCGAUCGGCGCUGACCGUCAAACUACGAUUUCUCGGAAUCAUCCAGUUUUGACCUCGGAUCAGGUAGGAAUACCCGCUGAACUUAAGCAUAUCAAUAAGCGGAGGA